AGAAAAAGAAGAAAAAGAAAAGAAUAAGAACGAACAAUUAAAGAAAAAGGAAAGAAAGAAAGGAGGGCCCGCCCCUGCAUGGGGGUGCAGGGGAGCGUCUGCAUGAAUUUCCUUCCUUUUACUUCUUUU
rnacentral:ribozyme from 11 species